CAGCAGUGCCGGGGCUGGAACCGCUGUGCAGCUCAGCAGCGCUCUUAUAGGCAGCGUCAGGAGGAGGGCAGUGCUGGGAUCGCAGAUAGCGCUGCUCCACAAACAGCCCCGUGCAAAGUGCUGCAGGAGCCGCUGUGCUGAGCCACUGCUGGGUUGCGCCAGGGGAGGGCCAGGUUGGAUCCUCUCCAAAAAAGUGGCCACGUGCUGCCCUGUGGGAGCCCCCGAGCCAAGAGAGCACGCUAUAACCAACAGACACGCAGGGUGAGGCCGAAGGCUCCACAGAAACCCGUUCCUGUAAACGCACCGCGUUCCGGGCACUGCAGAGAACAAAACUGAGGGCGCAGGGAGGCAGAGAGCCUCAGCUCUGCACCACGGGCAGCAGCUCCCCCAGCGCCAUGCCCUGCAGCCCCCGAUCACCCCCUCCUCACCAGGCUGUGUGUCCCGGCCCCCAUCACCCCCACCCCUGCUCGGGGCUGUGCUGAGGAAGAAGAGCUGAGGGAGAGCUGCCAGAGCCCCACAUGUGGAGUGUCACAGGAGGAGGUGCAGAGCUGGCAUGGAGAGAAGGAGCUGUUUGUUUCCACUGCAUACAGGAGAGCUCUUGUGCAUCCUCAUUGUUCCCUGUACAUCACAGCCCCAUCCGACGGCCCCACUCCUCCUCCUCUCUGGACCCAGGGCUGCUGGGGCACAGCUGGGAGCAGCUUUGCGGAUGGGCCCUGAGUGCGGCUGUGCUCUGAGGGGAACGGGAGCAGUUGUGCCCUUUGGGCAAAGGCUGAGGGUGUCCGGGCUGCGCUGGGAUGGCACUGCCAGCAGUGGAACGAGUGGGAUCUGCCCUCUGCUCAGCAAUGGUGCGGCUGCACAGACAGCACUGGGUGCAGCUCUGGGCCCCCCACACAGGAGAGCCCGGGACACACUGGGGAGAGUGCAGCACAGGGCCACCGAGCUGCUGCAGCGCCUGGGGCGGCUCUGCUGGAGGGACUGAGGUCACGGAACCUCCUCUUCUCUGCUCCUGGACUGGGGAAGUGUGGAUGGACAGCUGACCCAGGGAGGUGAUGGUGCUCUCCAGGGGACUCGGACAAGUGGCUCGGCGACAGAGAAGGACAUUGAUGGGAGUGGGAGGGCCCUACUGAUGAACACCCAGCCUCACCGCUGCUGCAGCCCCCAGUGGUGUGGAACUUUCUGGAAAAUAAGCGGAAAACCGAUUGGAGGAGGCAGACAGCUCUGUGUUCCCACAUUCUCUGCCGCUAUUCACUACUCACAGUGCCUGGCAGCACAGCCCUCCGGCCAGACCCCCCCGAGCCUCCAAG
ensembl:lncRNA